AAAGUUCCACUUUUAUGUCAUGAAUUCAAAUUCAGAAACAAUUUCUUGCUACAUGUAAAGAGAAAACUGUGCACACAUAAUAACUCACUUCAGUUAAAGUAUUAGUUAGCUUCUUUCACCUAUCAGUUGAACAAGGUUUUGUUUAAUUUAGAAUUCAGUUAUGCUGGUGUCUGUAUUUAAUUUGUAGGAUAUGAUGUUUCCUCUUUUUCUGUGUUUAAUUGGGUUCCAUUGAACCUUCUAAGGUAAAAUUGCA
rnacentral:lncRNA from 1 species